CAUUGUUAAAAUACCUGCUUGUCAAUGCGGAUCUCGUAAGGUCUCGGAAAGCUAAGACGGGUUGGGCCUGGUUAGUACUUGGAUGGGACAGCGCUGGGAAUAUCAGGUGCCACAGUGG
rnacentral:rRNA from 1 species